UACGUAGGUGGCAAGCGUUGUCCGGAUUUACUGGGCGUAAAGAGCGCGCAGGCGGUCGAUCAAGUCGCGUGUGAAAGCCCCCGGCUCAACUGGGGAGGGUCACGCGAUACUGAUCGACUCGAAGGCAGGAGAGGGUAGUGGAAUUCCCGGUGUAGUGGUGAAAUGCGUAGAUAUCGGGAGGAACACCAGUGGCGAAGGCGACUACCUGGCCUGUUCUUGACGCUGAGGCGCGAAAGCUAGGGGAGCAAACGGGAUUAAGAU
rnacentral:rRNA from 1 species